rnacentral:lncRNA from 1 species
ACUCAGUAAGGCCACAGUGCUGGGGGUGAACUCAUGGUUUGAUCAUCUAUCAUUGCCUAACACUCCAUCCCCUAGCUUAGAGGUCGUCAUCGUGAUCCUGGGUGUCUGUGAUGAGACCAGACUUAUUAUGUACCGCGAGACCAUCCCAGAUCUUCUAUUCUCCACACCUCAAGCCCCGUGAACAUUUCCUCCAUAGAAAACACGGAGAAUUAACUUAGUUUACUCCAGACAGUGGUUGGAAAUCCAGGAACCCUGCUCUGUAAGUUCUGUCUCAUCUGUGAUCAGCACGUCAGGACUUACCUGAACAUCCCGGGAAAAAGAACCAUGUGACCAAGGUGUAGCCUUCCCUAGCAUUUUGUCACAGAGAAUAUCUUUUGGUUAAUUUGGACAAACAUAAUUUUUUUUUUAACUCAAGACAAAACUUGAGUUGUGCUAUCCAGCAAAUGCAGUUUGGACUAACACCAAAGCACAUUGAUACAUUUUUCUUUUAUGUCUUAAAAGCUUUUUUUGAUGGCAAAUCCAGAGUAUGGUUUUAAAAGCAUGAUUAAUAGCUGGAAGAGGGUUGUGAAUUAUGUAUGAACCCACAGACUCCCAUAGGGGGAAGUGUAUGGAGGUGACAAGGAGAGGACAGCACCAUCACACUCCAGAACUUUCAUUCCCGAGUGCCAUCAAUGUUGUAGAAGUCUCUGGAUACCUUGCUGCAUGGUAGAGGCUCCCAGCCACGACAGCCUCUGAGAGAGCCUCUAGCCCCACGUCUACACCCUCGAUCAGGCUUUCGUCAUGCUGAUUCCAACGUCGUUGGCCAGUCUUGUGACAGCUAGGGAAAUAGCCCAUAUGAGGCAUGUGGCUCAUUUUAUUGCUAUCAGAUGUCCCCGCCUGGCAGGACAGACAUCUGUACGUGGUGCUACAAGAGAAGCGUUGGGGAGGCAGGCCACCUUCAGGCGGAGAAGCAGCACCCCUGGGAGACAGCCUGAGAGGUUCUGGAAGGGGUCAGCUCACAGCAUCAUGGGGCAGGCUGGGCAGGUGUGACCUACCAGGGCGGACGGUGAGGAAUGGGGGCAGCUGAAGGUCAGGGUGCCGUGGCCGGCCACCCACCGACUUCCGUCUGCUUUGGGGCCCGUUUGCUCUUCUUGUAGGGUCUUCCCACUGAUUGAAUGAGGCUAGCCUUCCUUAUCCUAACCGUUUCUAGACUUAGCACUGAGGAAAUAUGGCAAAUGAAAUCCUUUUCCUCUAGUGUCUGACUACCAGGCUUUCCCACCCCUCAUCAGUUACCGUGUUCUCCUUUCUCUGGCAGCAAGAACAUUCCAAUGCUUGUUUCUCUGGCCAGUUUCCCAGCCCUCUCUCCCUGACGGGUCUCUGGAUCUUCAUUGCCUCUCCCUUCUCACAGUACUGCGGCCCCCAACUUGGUGUCCACCCAGCAGCCGCUCUGUUCUCAGUAAUGAACUUCUGAGGCAGCAGGAACAACCAGCCUGGCUUAUUACGCACCCAGACCUGUCCGUACCUGUGACAUGCAAGGUGCCAUGAGAAAUGCAACAGGGCAAAAAGCUUGCCAUCCGCUUUCCUCAACUGCCAAUAAACUGGCUUCAGUUAGGUUUUAUCUUCCCUGGAGAAAACCCUAGAAAGUUCAGGAAGAUCCUGCACUUUGUCUGUGAGCCCCUCCUGCAUCUGCUGGGCUCACCAUGUGUGUAACAGUCAAUUUCAUACCCAACACACCCGCCCUCUCCCAGCAUGCCGGCGCUCCUUCCCCAGCUCCGUGUGCGGCCAGCUCCCGACCCCUGCGCAGGAGAGAACCCACUCCAUCAUGGUGGAUUUUGUUUUUUUCCUUUUAGCACCCUGCUGAUUCUAUUGGCAAAUAUUUUGUUAAGAAUUUCCAUGGAUUGACCGGCUCAGUUGGCUGGGUGUGUGCCUUCAGCUCGGGUCAUGAUCCUGGCGUCGGUCUUGUUUGAUGACUCAGUGUAUGGGCCAUCUUCGUGAACGUUCCACUGGGAAGCAGAUGGUUUUCGUCAUUGGGUGAAGCGUUCUCUACAUGUCGAUUAGGUUAAGUUGGUGGGGAGUGUUGUUCAGAUCUUCCGUGUCCUUACAGAUGGCUUUUUUUUCCCCCUUAUUUAUUCUGUCGGUUGCUGAGAGAGUAUUGAAAUACCCAAUUUUUAUAUUUAUAGAAUAUAUGUAUAUUUAUAGAAGUAUAAACUUUUUUUUGCCAGAGUUGAGCAGUGUGUGUGCCUAGCCUGGAGUUUUCUUUGUGAGAAAGUUUCUAAUUAUGAAUUCUAUUUUCUUAAUUGUCACAGGGUCAUUCAUUCUGUUUUUUUAAAAAUGUUGAGUCCCUCCUCCCUCCUCCCCCCUCCC